rnacentral:rRNA from 1 species
GAUGAACGCUGGCGGCGUGCCUAAUACAUGCAAGUCGAGCGAACAGACGAGGAGCUUGCUCCUCUGACGUUAGCGGCGGACGGGUGAGUAACACGUGGAUAACCUACCUAUAAGACUGGGAUAAAUUCGGGAAACCGGAGCUAAUACCGGAUAAUAUAUUGAACCGCAUGGUUCAAUAGUGAAAGACGGUUUUGCUGUCACUUAUAGAUGGAUCAGCGCCGCAUUAGGUGAUUGGUAAGGUAACGGCUUGCCAAGGCAGCGAUGCGUAGCCGACCUGGGGGGGGGAUGCGCCACACUGGAACUGAGACACGGUACAGACUCCGACGGGAGGCAGCGGUAGGGAAGCUUCCGAAAUGGGCGAAAGCCUGACGGAGCAACGCCGCGUGAGUGCUGAAGGUCUUCGGAUCGUAAAACUCUGUUAUUAGGGAAGAACAAAUGUGUAAGUAACUAUGCACGUCUUGACGGUACCUAAUCAGAAAGCCACGGCUAACUACGUG